GAUGAACGCUGGCGGCGUGCCUAAUACAUGCAAGUCGAGCGAACAGACGAGGAGCUUGCUCCUCUGACGUUAGCGGCGGACGGGGGAGUAACACGUGGAUAACCUACCUAUAAGACUGGGAUAACUUCGGGAAACCGGAGCUAAUACCGGAUAAUAUAUUGAACCGCAUGGUUCAAUAGUGAAAGACGGUUUUGCUGUCACUUAUCGAUGGAUCCGCGCCGCAUUAGCUAGUUGGUAAGGUAACGGCUUACCAAGGCAACGAUGCGUAGCCGACCUGAGAGGGUGAUCGGCCACACUGGAACUGAGACACGGUCCAGACUCCUACGGGAGGCAGCAGUAGGGAAUCUUCCGCAAUGGGCGAAAGCCUGACGGAGCAACGCCGCGUGAGUGAUGAAGGUCUUCGGAUCGUAAAACUCUGUUAUUAGGGAAGAACAAAUGUGUAAGUAACUAUGCACGUCUUGACGGUACCUAAUCAGAAAGCCCCGGCUAACUACGUG
rnacentral:rRNA from 1 species